GGCGGCGGCAGGUGGCGAAGCGCACCUGAGGGGCGGCGGAGGGGAAGCUGUGAGGUGCGGUGCCGGCGUGUUGCCCUGGGCGGACCGGCCCCACGCCAGGAACUGUUGGGCUUCGCUUAACUUGUUUGUUAAUUUUAACUCCAUUGGUUCGGAUUUGGUUUGCAUGAAUACUUGUGCCUGUACAGACGAUGGUAGAAGCAAGUAGCUGAUGAUGGAGAAAAUGAUAAGUCCAGACUUAGAGGACUUCAAGAACAUUUCCUAAUAUGACUUUUUCAGGACAAGAUCACAAGCACAAUGCGCUACAGGCACACAAUGGCAAAGGUCCACAGGGUUCCCUGAACUGAUGCAGUUAAAGUUCUUCACGUUCUACUGCCAAUUCCAGCACACACAGGAGACUAGAGAGAGACCUGAAGAGAUUUUAAUGUCUCACCAAGAAGCUGAAGCAGCAGCAGACCAAGAAGCAGAUGUGCCUGAUUCCAUACAGAAGCACGAACAUGUACAGCCAACAUCACCAUGACCUAGGCUCUUCCCUUUAGCUUCCACCUGUAAGUAACUCUGUUGAAAUUCUUGGGUCUGCACACACUUAACACCUGAAUUUGAAAAGAUAAUGCUAUUUCCUUACUUAAAUUUGUCCCAUACUGUCCAUUCUUGCAAACUGCUUUUUCUGUUGUCUCUUUUUCUGCAGUAAUUUAGAAUUCUCUACUGAAUGAUGGUUGUCAUGAGUGCUGCACAAUGCCUUUUGGUACUCUGUGGCAACAUGUAUACUGAAGCUAGGCAGCAAAAUGCCCUGGCCCUCCAACCUGGAGCCUCAGACUACAAUCAGAAGCCAGUCAUUUUCUGUGUGUAUGUGGAAGAAAUAGACCCCCAGCCCUCCCAAAUACCUCUACAGUAUUAAGACAUCAAUCACAACUUUACCACGGUAGAUUUUUCACUCUGACUCACACAUACAGGUAGCAGGCAAUCACUGAUUAAAAGAAAUCAUAAGAACAGAAAAAACAAUAAAAUAUAUUCUUCUGUUAAUUCAUAUUUUACUUUUAAGAAAGAUGUCUUAUUCCAGGAGAAAACAAUAUGAAUGUCAGUGAAACAGCUAUCAGAGAAGAGAAAAUAAGAGAGCUAAGUUUACUGGUCAAGUCUGUCUGUCUUUUCUGGCAAUCCAUCAAACAUAUGCAUAUUUUGGAAACCCCUGAGUGAUGAAAACUGUGUCUUUUCAGUGUUGGAAGAGGAGAGUUUCUUUCUAAGAAUACAGUGGUGCUUUUUAGAAGACCAGUGACUGAGCAAUAUGUGCGUCAAUGGAAGUUCUUUUCAGAACAAACCUUACCCUACCAGUGUAGGCAGCUACUGACUAACAUUACUGGCUGACUAAAAUUCUUGUUGCAUGAAAAAUACAGAUAAAUUGCUUUAGCAAGCACUUUCUGAAUGGUGUCUGUGAAGCAGACUCCUCCCUCGGCACAAGUUAAGAGGAGGAGGAAAAAGAACUGUCAGGGCUUCAGCACUGAGGUCUUGCUUGGCUGAGUUAUCCCAGAUGAAACUGGGGCUGGCCAACAGGAAUUCAGCCAAAAAUGCUACUGCUCUCCUUUUCUCCACCAUUUUUCCUAUUCCACUCCAACGCACAGUUUCCACAGAAACGGAGUAGAAUAGACAGUACAGUUUGGGUGCCUUUCUGCAGAGGUAAAAGUUGUUUAACUAAAGUUUGAAUAAAGUAUUGGUUAGUUAACAUCUCAUUCUGGUGAAAAGCUUUAUUAGAGUUUAAAUUCAGAGAUUAUCUGGAUAAGAAUAAACAUAUUUGAAAUUCCUCUUCCUCUCUCAACAUUUUAAACCUUAUGUAGUAAUGCGGGGACUGCAUGACUGUCUGGCAGCAGAAAUACUUGAACAUUACUUGAAUAUCCUAAUUCAUCACUUAGGGCUUUUUCAGUAUUUUUCCCCACUAUUCAUCAUCAACACUGGCAAACGUCUGACAGAAGAAACAGAAUCAAGCAAACCACUGUAACAGCCCACUACACAGCCUGCACUGUGUCUCACAGCCAAGCUGAGACUCAAAGCGAAAUCCUUCCUACUAUUGUGCUCAUUUCUUAAUUGGAAGGUAACUUUGUACACUGAAACAUACAGUGAAGGUGGCUGCACUUAGAAUGCACUGCGUGUUCCCAUUGGAACACCAAGCAGGUACCUGAGCAGCAUGGUUCACUGAACAGCUAACUCCAAUUUUGCCACUGAGUGUUUCAGACAGCCUCCUGACCUUCCAACUGCCUGUAAAUAAUUUCCCCAUCAGAAAAAUGUUGUCAUGCCAGUCACUAAGCCCGGUGAUUAAAAGUUGGCAAGUACUUCUCAUUCCUUAUAACAGGCACACUUUGCUGGUUUAUUUUCAGGCUUCUGGCCCUCAUACUCAGCUGUAUGGGAGAGCUUAUUUGCAUGCUGACAGCGGUGAUGUGCUGGCCCAGUGAAUGCUCAGCCAAACAAACUGCUACGAGAUGGCACUGUGGUGCAAUACGCUCUUAUCACCAUACUUGAAAUCAUGAAUGUUUACUGUAUUCCUAGGCAGCAGAUAGAAGUUCACUGUCCUCCUUUUGUCAAGCAGCCAGGGGGAAAUGGGGAUUACUUUUGCCAGCGCUAACAAGUUUGGACAAAUCCGUAAGAGAAAGAAGGAUCAACAGUGUCUCCCGAGAGCAGGAAAGAAGGUGCUGAUAGACAGGUGAAGGACUGUGUAUUCUGGGUCAUAUUGUCCUCAAACUACAUGAAGAAUUAGGCGUGUGAAGAGGGAACGCUAUGAUGUUGCCACAGCCUAAAAGUGAGCAAAACACAAGAGUGUUGGGCAGGGAGAUUUUAAUGUAAUUCACCACUAUGAUUAAAAGCAUACCAUGGGUAUUGUCACAGUCCAUUUCAGCUUUCUGUCUAUCAAUGUUUGAUAUUUAUGCUGUGACUUCUACAGCAUUUUUAAUGGCUAGAUCCAGUUGUGCAAAGGACAACAGGCAUUUUGCUGGUAGCUUAUUAAGGUACAUUUCACACCAAUACCAGUGAUCAAAAGCAAUCAAAGAAACUUUAUGGAAAACCAAGUGUGACAGCAGAUAUGGCCAGGGCUGGCAGGCACACACCCAGCAGCAGCACAGCUUGUUUUCUCCAUUUCUGCAGUGUUCUGCUUUUCCCCCUCCAUGUGAGGCAGCAGCCAUGCUGCAGGAGGUGGUCCCACCCAGCACCAUGCAUGUACAACUGUUCAGUGGCCUUGGGAGAGCAGUGAGAGCAGCUGGCCCCACUGGCAGGUAAUAAUUCAGGCUCUGUAUGCAGGCCACCUUGGUUGUUUUAUUCUUCCCAUCCAUACUGUUCUAGCAUAAGUACACCGAAAGGUCUUCCAAACCCUGGAGGUGAAAGGCCUCCUGAGAUAAUUAUGGGUGCAGGCAGAAAUACGUAAUCAUUCCCCAGCUCAGAUUCCCUGAGUCCCUGCAACACUUGCUCUUAACUGUCCUUGCAAAAAUCAAAUGCUGCCACUCAAAGAUAGAGACAUUGGACCUGGGGGCAGUAACAUCCUGUUUUGUGAGCAGUGCUGCCAAGCUUCAGGCAUCUAACAAACUUUUAACAGAAGGUAUAAAUGAAUUUCACUGUUACCCCACUAAUUCAGAGAUUAAAGUUUUACCUAACAUUCUGGACACAUAUAUUCCUAACCUAAAAUUACUCUGUAUAGCACA